rnacentral:rRNA from 1 species
CAUUAUUGAAAUAAACCUGAUGGGUUGCUGCUGGCUCUCUAGGGAGCAUGUGCACACUUGUCAUCUUUAUAUCUCCACCUGUGCACCUUUUGUAGAUCUGGAUAUCUUUCUGAAUGCCUGGCAUUCGGGUUUGAGGAUUGACUUUUUGUCUUUCCUUACAUUUCCAGGCCUAUGUUUUCUUCAUAUACACCAUUUAUGUUAUAGAAUGUAAUGAAAAGGGCCUUUGUGCCUACAAACCUUAUACAACUUUCAGCAACGGAUCUCUUGGCUCUCGCAUCGAUGAAGAACGCAGCGAAAUGCGAUAAGUAAUGUGAAUUGCAGAAUUCAGUGAAUCAUCGAAUCUUUGAACGCACCUUGCGCUCCUUGGUAUUCCGAGGAGCAUGCCUGUUUGAGUGUCAUUAAUAUAUCAACCUCCUCAUGUUUUGACUUGUCGAGUGUUUGGAUGUGGGGGUCUUUUGCUGGUCUCUUUUGAGGUCGGCUCCCCUAAAAUGCAUUAACGGAACAAUUUGUUGACCCGUUCAUUGGUGUGAUAACUAUCUACGCUUUUGACGUGAAACAGGUUCAGCUUCUAACAGUCCAUUGACUUGGACAAAUUUUCAUUAAUGUGACCUCAAAUCAGGUAGGACUACCCGCUGAACUUAA